UACGUAGGGGGCGAGCGUUACCCGGAUUUACUGGGCGUAAAGCGCGUGUAGGCGGCUGGUCAAGCGUGGUGUGAAAUCUCCGGGCUCAACCCGGAAACUGCAUUGCGAACUGACCUAGCUGGAGUGCGGGAGAGGGCAGCGGAAUUCCCGGUGUAGCGGUGAAAUGCGUAGAUAUCGGGAAGAGCACCAGUGGCGAAGGCGGCUGCCUGGCCUGUAACUGACGCUGAGACGCGAAAGCGUGGGGAGCGAACCGG
rnacentral:rRNA from 1 species